GAACUGUGCGAACGUUAUUCGGAAUCACUGGGCUUACAGGGUGCGUAGGUGGCCGGACAAGUCAGGUGUGAAAUCCCUCAGCUCAACUGAGGAACUGCGCUUGAAACUGUUUGGCUAGAGUGAGCUAGGGGUGCUUGGAACUGCCAGUGGAGCGGUGAAAUGUGUUGAUAUUGGCAGGAACACCGGAGCCGAAAGGGAAGCACUGGGGCUUAACUGACACUGAGGCACGAAAGCCAGGGGAGCAAACGGGAUUAGAUACCCCGGUAGUCCUGGCCGUAAACUAUGAGAACUGGGCGGGGGAGGGCUUGCCCAUCCCGGCCGUAGCGAAAGCGUUAAGUUCUCCGCCUGGGGAGU
rnacentral:rRNA from 1 species